UACGUAGGGCGCAAGCGUUAUCCGGAAUUAUUGGGCGUAAAGAGCUCGUAGGCGGUUUGUCGCGUCUGCCGUGAAAGUCCGGGGCUCAACUCCGGAUCUGCGGUGGGUACGGGCAGACUAGAGUGAUGUAGGGGAGACUGGAAUUCCUGGUGUAGCGGUGGAAUGCGCAGAUAUCAGGAGGAACACCGGUGGCGAAGGCGGGUCUCGUGGGCUGUAACUGACGCUGAGGAGCGAAAGCGUGGGUAGCGAACAGG
rnacentral:rRNA from 1 species